rnacentral:rRNA from 1 species
CUGAACUUGAGCAUAUCAAUAAGCGGAGGA